rnacentral:rRNA from 1 species
CCUACGGGAGGCAGCAGUGAGGAAUAUUGGUCAAUGGGCGCGAGUCUGAACCAGCCAAGUCGCGUGAGGGAAGACGGUCCUAUGGAUUGUAAACCUCUUUUGUCGGGGAGCAAAAGACGCCACGCGUGGCGGUCCGAGAGUACCCGAAGAAAAAGCAUCGGCUAACUCCGUGCCAGCAGCCGCGGUAAUACGGAGGAUGCGAGCGUUAUCCGGAUUUAUUGGGUUAAAAGGGUGCGCAGGCGGAAGAUCAAGUCAGCGGUAAAAUUGAGAGGCUCAACCUCUUCGAGCCGUUGAAACUGGUUUUCUUGAGUGAGCGAGAAGUAUGCGGAAUGCGUGGUGUAGCGGUGAAAUGCAUAGAUAUCACGCAGAACUCCGAUUGCGAAGGCAGCAUACCGGCGCUCAACUGACGCUCAUGCACGAAAGUGUGGGUAUCGAACAGGAUUAGAUACCCUUGUAGUC